AACCCAUGGUGAGGGCACCUUUUCAGUAAGCCUUUGUAUCUCUCCCACGCAGCGUAAAGAGUUUCUAACCCAUCUGCACAAACGAAGAGAUAUCAUUACGUAAUUU
rfam:Gossypium hirsutum cultivar TM-1 chromosome 1, whole genome shotgun sequence